AUUGAACGCUGGCGGCAUGCUUUACACAUGCAAGUCGAACGGCAGCACGGGUGCUUGCACCUGGUGGCGAGUGGCGGACGGGUGAGUAAUACAUCGGAACGUGUCCUGAAGUGGGGGAUAACGCAUCGAAAGAUGUGCUAAUACCGCAUAAUCUCUAAGGAGAAAAGUAGGGGAUCGAAAGACCUUAUGCUUUUGGAGCGGCCGAUGUCUGAUUAGCUAGUUGGUAAGGUAAUGGCUUACCAAGGCGACGAUCAGUAGUUGGUCUGAGAGGACGGCCAGCCACACUGGGACUGAGACACGGCCCAGACUCCUACGGGAGGCAGCAGUGGGGAAUUUUGGACAAUGGGCGCAAGCCUGAUCCAGCAAUGCCGCGUGAGUGAAGAAGGCC
rnacentral:rRNA from 1 species